rnacentral:misc_RNA from 1 species
ACAUCCGGUUGCAUGCUCUCGCUCACUCAUAUUGCAGACACUGCGCCCUCAUUUACAGAGGUGCGUUCCUCCAUAUAUCCACAAGUGACGGGCAUGCGAUGAUGGGAAUGCUGUCGCUCUUCCUGCAUCGACGGCUCAUUGCCGAGGGAGAAGGCGCACGUCUUCUCCACCGGCUGUCUUUCUUUGCUUGCCGCAUGAAUGAAGGACGGCGCCAUCAUGCAGAUGUACCAUUAGCCGCUCGCGACGCACUCGAAGUCCCUUCGAAGUACGAGGUCAUCAGCGACCCUUCCAGUGCGGUCGAAGUUCGCGUUUGGCGCAGAGGUGUGGAGGUGGAGCGGACCGCGAACGAACAGCUACACCGCAUCUCUCGCAUGAGCCCGCACAUCAUUCCAGCACCUGUGGCUGUCAUGCCGGACGUGCACGCUGGGAUCGGGUGCACCGUCGGGUUGGUCUUGCCGACGGUGCGCGCGAUUAUACCAGCGUGUGUCGGUGUUGACAUUGGGUGCGGCAUGAUUGCGGUGCAGACCUCCCUCACUGCAGAGGAUCUUCCGAACUCAUUGGAAGACCUGCGACUGGCGAUUGAGCUGGGCGUGCCACACGGUCGCACCCACGGCGGUUAUAGCGGCGCAGACGCCGGCAGCUGGCGCAACAGUGUGCCGACGAACGUGCAGGAGGUGUGGAAGAAGCACCUCGCUGACGACUUUGAAGAGCUGUGCCGCCGGCACGCACAAGUUGCGAACACGAACAACCUCAACCAUCUCGGCACACUCGGCACAGGAAACCACUUUAUUGAGCUGUGCCUCGAUGACCAGCAGCCGCGGAGGCACGUAUGGGUGAUGCUACACUCCGGGUCGCGCGGUGUGGGCAACCGCAUUGGCUCCUUGUUCAUUGAGCUGGCCAAGAAGGACAUGGAGGCCCGCAUGCUUCACCUCCCUGAUGCCGACCUUGCCUACCUCGACGAAGGCACGGCGAACUUCAGCGACUACAUUUUUGCGGUGGAGUGGGCGCAGAGGUACGCGUGGUGGAAUCGACAGUUGAUGCUUGACGCCGUUCUGGUAGCCAUGCGAGGGUGCAUCGCAACUCCCUUCACAACAGUGCAAGCAGCCGUAAACUGCCACCACAACUACGUCGAGCGCAUUCGUAUUCCCAUUCGAGAGCAAGGACAUGAGGGCCAUGCGGCCAGCAAUCCACGCCAGGGGACGUUCCGCGAGCAAGAUGUGUGGCUUACUCGCAAGGGUGCUACUUCUGCGCGUAUGGGUGAGCUCGCCGUGAUUCCGGGGUCCAUGGGGGCCUGCAGCUACAUCGUGCGAGGCAAGGGAAGCGCCGCAAGCUACUGCUCCUGCUCGCACGGUGCCGGGCGCCGCUACAGCCGCGGCGAGGCGCGCCGGCGAUUCACUGUGUCAGAUCAUGAGGCUGCUACACUGGGCAUCGAGUGCCGCAAGGACAGCAGCGUGUUGGACGAGACACCUGCCGCUUACAAGAACAUCGAUGCUGUCAUGGCUGCUCAGGACGACCUCGUCGAGGUCGUCACGAUAUUGCGGCAAGUGCUUUGUGUGAAAGGGUGAGGAAUGUCGUGCGUCACCAACCUCCCUUCUCUGCCGCCUCCUCAUCGAGACACAUGCACUCCUUACUGCACGAACAAAAAGAUGUGCCACGUCUGCGCGCCGUCGGUCGUUUUCCAGCAGCUGCCUUAUGUUGACUCCCCUUCUUUCGCACUCCCUCAUGAAGACGGUGCGUGUGCGUGUGUGUGUGUGGGCACGCCUCUCGGUGCGUGGCAGCUCAGGGCCCAGUACACACGCCGACUCUCUCUGGGUGGAGGCGAAGCCGCCCGCCGCUCUCUAUCCCUGCCAAAUGCGGAGCCACCUCUGGUGGUGACAGGGUGAGGCGCCUACGACCUGGGGCGAGGUGAGAGCGAUGUGUCGCUGCUGGUGUCGGAUAGCAGGUCCUGGACGGCGUUGCGUCUGAGCGACCUGCGACCGUGGGCACACGUGUGCCAUCCACAUGAUGGGCAGAGUGUCCGCGUCGCUGGAACGCACCCCACCACCCGACCCUCGCACUGCCCGCUGGUGUGGGGAGCCCGAGGCCCCUCCGAGGGGGCUGCAUCACGUGGCGACCGGCAUGAUGUGGGAGCGGCUGUGAGGCGACCUGCGCGAUGCGGCGGUGGUGGUGGUCGGGGCUUGAGGCGGAGGCGGUGCUGAGAUGACUGGGCCGACGCAUUGCUGUACCGCGUGCGCGCACCGCUGCUUCGCAGGGCGGGAUGGGGCCUGCGGCAUGCCGGGGUGGGGUGGCGCUGGAGCUCGUGCUGGACGGCAGAGGGCGGGCACCCGCUGGGAAGGAAAACGAAAAAUUCAUUUCCCUCUUUACCUCGUCGGCGCUCAUGUCGUCCCACACACGCCCGCUAACUGGCGCCAUUCGUCACACACACUUUUGUUUUCCGCUAUGUUGCAUGCCUGGGCGAAGGAGGGCGAGAGGUGCGCGUUAGGCGCGCGGCCCCGAUUCGAUGACAGGACGGUGUGUCCUAGACGUCGAGGAUGUAGCCGUGCUGCCGCUGGUGCGGGUGAGCGGCGGCUGCGCAUGCGUAUGUUUGCGGAACUGCUGCGGGUGUGGAAUGGGCGCAUCGAGAAAAAGGGAAAACCUCACGUACCGGGCGACAACUGCACCGACACACCGACGCGUGUGGUCCAUCCUCUUCCUUCUGUGGGCGGCCGCUCGUUGCAUCGGCUUACAAAUUUACGUGCGCUGCACGACUGGAGCGGGGCUCUCGCUCGCUCUCAUCAUGUCUUCACCUUCUCCCAAAAUACGAACGCACGAGGCGGCUGGUGCGACACCGUGGGGAAUGUCCAACGCCGCCUGCACUUGACUCAGUCAACUACCCUCCCCAUCCCGCCACUGCACCGGCGCCACCACAUGGAAAAGUUCACAUACAAGCAGAAGCUUAGGUACCCUGUGUGCUUUACUUUUAGAUGCCAGACGCCACGCAUCAGCGCCGCUGCCGCUCUACGCCGGCGGUUGCGACGGUUCACAGCUCCGAAGAUUUCCGCAGCAGGAGGCGGCCUACGCGGCAUUGAUUUUGAUGGCUUGCGCUGGGAUUUCUCCACAUCUGUGCAUCUCUUUGUGCCCGUGCACCUCUGUCUCUUCCUCUCCUCGUGUUCUCUCUCUGAGUCUCUUCUCUUCUGAUGGCACACACGCACAUACGUGCACCAUGUGCUCGCGCAUACUCAG